GGGGGCGUUUUGGUUUCGACGGGGAACAUGAGUCAAAAUAUAAAGCAUGUGGUGCGUCUUCACCUAAAAGGGACAUUUGCAAAUAAACGCAAACGAAAACAAAGUAGUUCGUCUUGGUGCUGCAGCUGUUGCUGCCUAAGCGGACAAAAAAUUCUGGUCAACUUUUAAUCUUGACCUCUCCAACUAAAAACCUCGCUAGUUUUUAGAUAGGGGAUCAUUUCAAAGCGCUCUGCACCUUCAAAUUUGUCUUUAUAGAAAGUGUAAAAUCAAAAGACUGGUUGAAAGAAAGUUGUUUAUGGCUGAUCUUUCAAUGAGAAAUAAGCAUAAACUAAACAUGUAGAAAGGUUUUGAAACAGUUUUUCGGAAGCGGGUUCGAUUCCCGCCGUCUCCACCA
rnacentral:tmRNA from 1 species